CGUCAGCUCGUGUCGUGAGAUGUUGGGUUAAGUCCCGCAACGAGCGCAACCCUCGCCAUUAGUUGCCAUCAUUUAGUUGGGAACUCUAAUGGGACUGCCGGUGCUAAGCCGGAGGAAGGUGGGGAUGACGUCAAGUCCUCAUGGCCCUUACAGGGUGGGCUACACACGUGCUACAAUGGCGACUACAGAGGGUUAAUCCUUAAAAGUCGUCUCAGUUCGGAUUGUCCUCUGCAACUCGAGGGCAUGAAGUUGGAAUCGCUAGUAAUCGCGGAUCAGCAUGCCGCGGUGAAUACGUUCCCGGGCCUUGUACACACCGCCCGUCACACCAUGGGAGUUGGAUUCACUCGAAGGCGUU
rnacentral:rRNA from 2 species